rnacentral:ribozyme from 1 species
UGCCCAGCAACUCCUAUCCCUACCUCCUCGCGGUAGUGGCCGGGGUACGAGUAACCUUAGGGAUCCUUAGAUCGGGUAACCAACCCCCGGUGGGAACUUUGGUCGUAUGCUGACAGGGAAGG